rnacentral:rRNA from 1 species
CCUUGGAAGCUAUCGCGAAUAGAAGGGCCUGCGUAACAUUAGCUUGUUGGUGAGGUAAAGGCUUACCAAGGCCGCGAUGUUUAGCUGGUCUGAGAAGAUAAUCAGCCACACUGGAACUGAGACACGGUCCAGACUCCUACGGGAGGCAGCAGUAGGGAAUAUUGCGCAAUGGAGGCAACUCUGACGCAGCAAUGCCACGUGGGUGAGGAAGGUUUUCGGAUCGUAAAGCCCUUUUAGCGAGGAAAAAUGAUGUAUUGGUUAAUACCCGGUACAAGUGACGGUACUCGCAGAAAAAGCACCGGCUAACUCCGUGCCAGCAGCCGCGGUAAUACGGAGGGUGCAAGCGUUGUUCGGAUUUAUUGGGCGUAAAGCGCGUGUAGGCGGAUUCUUAAGUCAGGUGUGAAAUCUCGGGGCUCAACCCCGAAACUGCGCCUGAAACUGGGGAUCUAGAAUCUUUAAGGGGGUCGGGGAAUUUCAUGUGUAGGGGUAAAAUCCGUAGAGAUAUGAAGGAACACCUGAGGCGAAGGCGCCGACCUGGGAAAGUAUUGACGCUGAGACGCGAAAGCGUGGGUAGCGAACAGGAUUAGAUACCCUGGUAGUCCACGCUGUAAACGAUGAGCACUAGCUAUUGGGAACACUAGUUUUCAGUUGCGAAGCUAACGCAUUAAGUGCUCCGCCUGGGGAGUACGGUCGCAAGACUAAAACUCAAAGGAAUUGACGGGGGCCCGCACAAGCGGUGGAUUAUGUGGUUUAAUUCGAAGCAACGCGAAGAACCUUACCUGGGCUUGAACUCCUGCGAACGGUCAAGAGAUUGACUGGUGUCCUUCGGGAUAUGCAGAGAGAGGUGCUGCACGGCUGUCGUCAGCUCGUGUUGUGAAAUGUUGGGUUAAGUCUCGCAACGAGCGCAACCCCUAUCGUUAGUUGCCAGCAUUAAGUUGGGCACUCUAGCGAGACUGCCUGGGUUAACCAGGAGGAAGGUGGGGAUGACGUCAAGUCCUCAUGGCCCUUAUGUCCAGGGCUACACACGUAAUACAAUGGUGCAUACAAUGGGAAGCGAACUCGCGAGGGGAAGCAAAUCUCAAAAAGUGCAUCUCAGUCCGGAUUGGAGUCUGCAACUCGACUCCAUGAAGUUGGAAUCGCUAGUAAUCGUAGAUCAGCACGCUACGGUGAAUACGUUCCCGGGCCUUGUACACACCGCCCGUCACACCACGGGAGUUGGUUCAACCUGAAGCCGUGACCUUAACCCUCGGGAGAGGAGCGUCUACGGUCGGGCCGAUAACUGGGGUGAAGUCGUAACAAGGUA